rnacentral:lncRNA from 1 species
AUUCAACUGUAAUUUGCAAGAGGAUUAGUUAGAAAUUUGUGACAUUUCUGGUAUGUGACAGUGUUGUGACUUGGGAGCAUGUGAAUUAUUAAUACACUAAAAGUUACCCCUCGCGCCCCGAGGUGCUUCCUUACGCAUGUUUAAAACCAUGCACAACUUAAAGUCAUCCUUAUUAAAAGCAACUGGAUUAUUUGACAACCAUACUGAAAAGUAGGUCUUAGAAAGAAAUACUUUGGUUUUUACAAAAGUGAAAAAACUGGCCUUUACGUUUCGCUUUCAGCAAGAAAAGUAUGUAGGAGACACACGACCCAUAAGGGUGAUGGGUGCUAGGCAGCCGCUGAAGUGGUAAAGGCUGUGCUCAGGCAGGAUGGAUGGAUGUAUUUUCAGCAUCACAUUAAGCCAGAAAGCAGACUCCAGAUUGCACAUGAAGCAUUGACUAGUCAUGAUCGUGUAACAUGAACGAAGACAGCAAGUCAAGAAAAAAAGAAAAUAUUGUUCUAGAGCCGUGGUAUUAUGGGCAAAGUUUCAAAUUUGUAUUUUCAGUUUGCUCAGUUACUGUGUUAAAGAAACAAAUAUUAUUCUGCAGUUUGUCUUUAAGCCAGUGAAGCAUGUUUCCUAAGUGCCCGGUGGUAGGAAACCGAAGACCAGGGAGCAAUGUCCACGUUAAUGUGCUUUUUGCAGCAUGGCACCUUGUGGAGCACCUGGGAACAGAAUCUUUUUUUAAAAUUAUGUUCUGAUUUGGGAGACUUGAGUUUUGAGAUGACAUUUAUGAUCCAGAUGGGCUUAGAAAAAAGUUACCUAGUCUCUCUGAGCUUUCAAUCCCUCAGAAAGGAAAGAUUGUGAUCAUUUGGGGGCAGCUGGGGAAAUCAGAUGCAAAAGUGACAAGAAAAUAUAUAAGGGAGUAUGCUUUUAUUAUGCAGUAUCACUAACGCCUUUAGAUGCUGUUCCAUGUACUAAGUUAACAUUAUUAGAUUGGUUGCUGUUCCUUAAGAAAAACCCAUGGGCAUUUUUUUGGUCGUGUCCUUUUAAGCGGUGGGCAGGCUGUCAUCUCUCUAAGAUGCAGACAGCAAAGAGCCCCUGAGCUGCAUUUUUGUCUUAACUCCACAUUUCCCGUAGUUGAUACUCAAAAGAGAAGAAUUCUAACGUGUUUCUUCCUGCACCGCAGUGGACUAUACUGUGUACAUUUUAGGGAGAUCACGGAUCUAAAGAGCUAGUCUGAGUGGAAGAUUUUAUAUCUGUUUCCCCCUUUUCUUUUCCUUCUGUAGUAGCACCACCAGCCAUGUGAACAUUCUCCUUGCUCACUGUAUACCUCCUAGGAACCUUAGAAAAAAUAAAUCCAACUGCCUGCAUCUGCAAAUUCUAGCUAGCGUUUGUUGAGUACCGUUCUGAGUGCUUUCUCUGCGUGGUUCUCUCUCUUAAUCCACGUGACUCUGUGGUGGGUCACAGCUGGAUUAAGUAACUGGCCCAGGUCUGUAGUUAGGAAGCAGUGAAGCUAGAAUUUGACUGCAGGCUGUCUGGCUCCUUCCUCUGCUCCUGAUCACCAUGUUUCCCAGCAUCUAAGUCAGCAGUUACGUGAUUCUCUGCUGUAGAUAAAAUUGUGUGAUUAAGCCUCAAUGACUGUCAAUCAUCAGUAGCAUAUUUGGAAUCAUUGGAUCAAGACCCAGACAUAUGGUUUAGAAGGACAUUAUAUGAACCUCAGAACUGGUAGGAAUUUAAAAAGGCUGACUGGGUAGCUCAGGGGUUCCUAAUCUGUUCACCAGUGAAAACUCUUGUUCUCUUAUGAGAUGGGUUCCUGAGAAAUUCUAAGGGUCCUGGAAAGAUAUGACUCAGGAGACUUUUCCGGUCUAGGCUUUAAUUCGUUUAAGGAACUCUCAUUAUGUUAGAACAUGGAAAAUGGUGUUCUCAUGACUAUUUUCUGGUCUUUAAAUACCUUGUUGUACCUAUAAUUAUUAUUUUCCUAAGAAUGGAGCUGAAAUUGCUUCAAGAUGAAAGAGCCAUGGCGCUUGUGGGUGGGUGUGCUACUCCGAACUUUAGAACUACAACAGAAAUUAGAGGUUCACAAGGUAAUUGCUGUGAUUACAGUUUUCUUUUUGGCCCCAGACAGGAGCUCUUGAAACACAAUAUUCUACUAAUUUUUUAAAUGUACAGUUUGCAAGGCAACAAGGAAAUUACUGAGAAUAUGUACUGUUUCUCCCUCGUUUUUGAUGAAAGUUAACGUCUUGUUGGAUCGCUUGCGAUUGCUGAGGGAAAAGCAGACCUGAUUGAAUUACAAGACUCUUAAAAUUUUUAAGUACUGCAUCAACCUUAUGUUUAUUGCAUAAGGAAAUUAUUUUAAAAGAAAAAAGUUCCUAGUCCCUAGCAGUCUUAGGUAGCAACAGCUUCAAAACAUCUCUGCGAACCUUUCUAAACUUCACAUUUCUGCGUAAUUCACAUCUUUGUAAAAUCUGUAAUUUUACAUUGUAAAUAAUGGAAUUUCAUAGUAUUUGCACAUUUCACGCAAUUGACCUUCAAUAAAUGGCAGUUGUUUAUCCUACUUUUUAGGGAUCGUAUAAGCCCUCUAUUUGUUUCAUAUUUUACUUUGCCGUUUCCCUGUUAUUGGAUUUAGGUUAUUUCUAGCUUUUUAUACAUGUAAUCCAUGUUCUACACAUUAUGUACUAGCUUUUUAUACACAUUAAAACCUGGUAACGUGUUUUAUAGUAUCUUCUUUUUAUUUACUUUUGAGAAAGUGGUGGUAGUUUUGAUAGGAUUUAUCAGGAAAGGGAUUACUAUGUCAAAUGAAAGAGCAGUUAUCAGUGUAAUUCAGAUUCUUUGCCCAUGUUUGCUGUUUUCAACUUCUUGUGUUAAUAUCUUCUGCCCUCAUUCUUCUAGAUUGCAAUAGUAGCAAAAUAAGAAUUCCACAUACUAAUUAUGGAAUUAGUAUGUGGAUGUCAACUUUUUUUUCUCUUUUUGUUGUGAUUAUUUUUCCCUCUUAGUUCUUUUAUCUUGGUUUUGUUAAAAGUUGAUUGAAGUCAUUUUAUCUUUUUCUUGGAGUAAUCUCCGUUGUUGACAUGAACACAUCAUUAGACCUCUUAACUGACACACACACACACACACACACACACACACACACACACACACACACACAUGCAGUGUAUUUUUUGAGGCUUAAUUUUGUUAGAUUUUUUUUUUAAAUAGUUUUUUUAUUUUGAUGUCCCAGCAAACAUUGUUUCAUAGUUGUG